GACGAACGCUGGCGGCGUGCUUAACACAUGCAAGUCGAACGAUGAAGCCGGAGCUUGCUCUGGUGAAUUAGUGGCGAACGGGUGAGUAACACGUGAGUAACCUGCCCUUGACUCUGGGAUAACUGCGGGAAACUGUAGCUAAUACCGGAUACGACCCUCGGAGGCAUCUCCUGGGGGUGGAAAGAAUUUCGGUCAAGGAUGGACUCGCGGCCUAUCAGCUGGUUGGUGAGGUAAAGGCUCACCAAGGCGACGACGGGUAGCCGGCCUGAGAGGGUGACCGGCCACACGGGGACUGAGACACGGCCCAGACUCCUACGGGAGGCAGCAGUGGGGAAUAUUGCACAAUGGGCGCAAGCCUGAUGCAGCAACGCCGCGUGAGGGGUGACGGCCUUCGGGUUGUAAACCUCUUUUAGCAGGGAAGAAGCGAAAGUGACGGUACCUGCAGAAAAAGCACCGGCUAACUACGUGCCAGCCGCCGCCGUAA
rnacentral:rRNA from 1 species